GACGAACGCUGGCGGCGUGCUUAACACAUGCAAGUCGAGCGGUAAGGCCCUUCGGGGUACACGAGCGGCGAACGGGUGAGUAACACGUGGGUGAUCUGCCUUGCACUCUGGGAUAAGCCUGGGAAACUGGGUCUAAUACCGGAUAUGACCUGCAGUUGCAUGACUGUGGGUGGAAAGAUUUAUCGGUGCAAGAUGAGCCCGCGGCCUAUCAGCUUGUUGGUGGGGUAAUGGCCUACCAAGGCGACGACGGGUAGCCGGCCUGAGAGGGCGACCGGCCACACUGGGACUGAGACACGGCCCAGACUCCUACGGGAGGCAGCAGUGGGGAAUAUUGCACAAUGGGCGAAAGCCUGAUGCAGCGACGCCGCGUGAGGGAUGACGGCCUUCGGGUUGUAAACCUCUUUCGACUCCGACGAAGCGAAAGUGACGGUAGGAGUAUAAGAAGCACCGGCCAACUACGUG
rnacentral:rRNA from 1 species